rnacentral:lncRNA from 1 species
AAGUGUGUGAGUCCGUGCUGUGCAACCCUGGUUGACAAUGGCAAAGCCAUUUAGACCUCGGUUUCCUGGCACAAUGAAUAGUUAUUGAAUCUGCGUCUGUCCAGGGGACGGGGACAGAAAAAAGUCUUUGACUUGGAUCUCCACGUGAGGAAAUGGCCACUACUCCCUAAAGUGAAGGAAAAGAAACACAGGGAGGAGCCAGAGGGGCUCAGAUGCAGGGCCCAGGGAGCGGUCAGGAAGGAAGAAAUAAAUGAAGGCACCAGCCAGGCCGGAGAAACUUGCAAGUCGCUGUGACUGCUUCGGAUCCAGCACACCCCACCCACCUCGGGCUGUGGACGCCACCUGCAGCAGCCCGGGGAAGACGGAGGAAGAGGCGCUGGCUGCGGAGCAGGUCCUUGGCAAAGAGCGGAAGGUGACGGGGCGCAGGGAGCGCCUGCUCUUAGGAUCCUGCCUCUCAGCUGAGGAGGGAGCAAUUCAAGUUUUAAUAAUCUCAGGCAUAUGAAUGAUGCAAACUUGCAACAGCGUUUGAAAGUGCACUUAUUUAAACUUCUUUUUCCUCUAAAUAGCUUUGCGACUGUCGACCGGUAAAUUUUCCUUUUUAUUUCAUCACAUUCAUCGUUUGCCCUCUUGCCAGCAGGGACCCCACAAUGGCGACAAAUGGGUUCUCCGGGGCAAAUGGCAAAAGAGAGGAAGUUUCCCGUCGGACUUUCCCAAGCCCCCCUCUCCCCGCCCCUUCUUGCACCUGGACCUUCUGAGGCUGUCGCACCCCUCCCCUGGGCGGGGCCGGCACUAGGGAUACUGGAUUUCUCCUACUCUUCCCGCCCCUGGAUUCUUUCAGCCCUCACCCCCUCCCAGGAAAGAGGAAGAGAAGCAGCGGUGACGAGGACAGGCGGUGGUUGCCUACCCAGGAAUCCGAGCCCCCCGGUACAUAGCUGUAUAUUCUUCUCUGUGGGUCCUUCUAGUUGUGGCAUGUGGGACGCUGCCUCAGCGUGGUCUGAUGAGCAGUGCCAUGUCCUCGCCCAGGAUUCGAGCCAACGAAACACUGGGCCGCCUGCAGCGGAGUGCGCGAACUUAACCACUCGGCCACGGGGCCAGACCCCGGUCACACUUUUGUAAGAGACUUGAAGAGCGUGGUCUACGGCUUGUGCUGCGCCGCAGGGGUGUAGACCCAGAGUGCAAGCACAGGCGAAGAUCAGACACUCAUUUCACACUUCUGAUAGGUGGGACACCUGCCACAGCUUGGCUUGACAAGUGGUGCGUAGGUCCGCUCCUGGGAUCCAAACCGGUGAACCCCAGGCUGCUGAAGUGGAACGUGCGAUCUUACCCACUGCGCCACUGGGCCAGCCCCAGCAACUGAUUUUUGAAGUUGAUUUUGUACCCUGCAAUUUUACUGUAUUCAUUUAUUAUUUAUAAUAGUUUUUUGGUGGAUUCUUUAGGGUUCUCUUUAUAUAAAAUCAUGUCAUCUGCAAAUAGUGACAAUUUUACUUCUUCCUUUCCAAUUUGUAUCCCUUUUAUUUCUUUUUCUUGCCUAAUUGCUCUGGCUAGGACUUCCAAUACCAUGUUAAGUAACAGUUCUCAUCAACAUUUAGAAUGAAAGAAUGUAUGUUUUUCCAACGACUAUUUCUAUGCCUUCUCUUGUUCUGAGUCCUUUUAAGAGGCAAUAUAAAGUAAAAAAGAAGUCAUAAAAUGAUAGGCAUUUGUUGUAAGAUCUGAUUUCAUCUUUGCCAUCAAUUGGCUCAGGUUUUUAAGUCACUUUUUCUCCUUGGAUCUUAGCCUCAUUAUUAAAAGGAGAGAAUAAGAUGAGUGGACUUCUAAGAAGGCCUCUUCCUGCUCACAUACUUCAGACUUGUGUGAUCCUGAUUCUUUGUGUGGUUAAUUUUAAAUUACAAGCAGAAAGAUUGUGUGCUUCUCUGCAAACAUGGCAACGAACCAUUUACAGAAGGAAAUUGUGGACAGUGUGCUUGUGUGGGCUCUAUGCUCAAACCACAUGAGGAGAAGCUGAUUUUAAGAGAGGAG